rnacentral:rRNA from 1 species
UCAAGCUAUAAAGAGCGCAAGGGGAAUGCCUUGGCAUCAGGAGCCGAAGAAGGACGUGACAAGCUGCGAUAAGCCACGGGGAGGAGCAAAUAUCCGCUAUAUCCGUGGAUUUCCGAAUGGGGGAACCCGCUUGAGCAAUACUCAAGCAUCGUGCAUUGAAUCAAAUAGGUGUACGAGGGGAACGGUCUGAACUGAAACAUCUAAGUAGGACCAGGAAAAGACAUCAACCGAGAUUCCGCAAGUAGUGGCGAGCGAACGCGGAGGAGGCCAAACCGGAGGAUUUAUUCUCCGGGGUUGCGGACAGACAUCACGAUCAGAGGAAGCUAGGAGAACGGCAUGGGAAGGCCGGCUAAAAAGGGUGAGAGCCCCGUAUCCGAAAGCAGGAGCUGACAGUCUGGAUCCAGAGUACCGCGGGACACGUGAAACCCCGUGGGAAACCGGGUGGACCACCAUCCAAGCCUAAAUACUACCUGAUGACCGAUAGAGGAGCAGUACCGUGAGGGAAAGGUGAAAAGGACCCCGGGAGGGGAGUGAAAGAGAACCUGAAACCUUGUGCUUACAAGCAGUCAAAGCACGUUAAGGUGUGAUGACGUACUUUUUGUAGAACGGUCCGGCGAGUUAUAGUAACGAGCAAGCUUAAGGUAUUCAGUACCGAAGGCGCAGCGAGAGCGAGUCUGAACAGGGCGUAUAAAGUUCGUUGCCAUAGACCCGAAACCGGGUGACCUAUCCAUGAGCAGGCUGAAGUGGAGGUAAAACUCCAUGGAGGGCCGAACCGACCCCCGUUGCAAUGGUGGCGGAUGACUUGUGGAUAGCGGAGAAAUUCCAAUCGAACUCGGAGAUAGCUGGUUCUCCCCGAAAUAGCUUUAGGGCUAGCGUUAUCUUAGUUUACCGGAGGUAAAGCACUGAAUGGGCUAGGGGCCGAUAAGGUUACUGAACCCUAUCAAACUCUGAAUGCCGGAUAAAUGAUGGAUAGCAGUCAGACAGUGUGAGAUAAGUUUCAUUGUCAAAAGGGAAACAGCCCAGACCCACAGCUAAGGUCCCUAAUGUGCGCUAAGUGGAAAACGAUGUGGAGUUGCGAAAACAACCAGGAUGUUGGCUUAGAAGCAGCCACUCAUUAAAAGAGUGCGUAAUAGCUCACUGGUCGAGUGACUCUGCGCGGAAAAUAUAACGGGGCUAAGCACACAACCGAAGCUUGGGAUUGUCAAAAGACAGUGGUAGGGGAGCGUCGAAUACGGGGUGAAGUCGUAUCGGAAGGAACGGUGGACUGUAUUCGAGUGAGAAUGCCGGAAUGAGUAGCGAGAAUUAUGUGGGAAUCAUAAUGGCCGAAAAUCUAAGGUUUCUUGGGGAAGGUUCGUCCGCCCAAGGUAAGUCGGGAGCUAAGGCGAGGCCGAGAGGCGUAGUCGAUGCACAUACGGUAGAAAUUCCGUAACCACCGAAACUUAAGUUAGAGGGACACUUCGAGAUAGCGGAACCGCGGCGUUGGUAGACCGCGGCGAAAGGGACUGAAAUAUAGUAGGGAAGUCCGCGAUGCUCGGAGGCGAGAAAAGCUCUAAGGAAUGCUAAGGUGCCCGUACCGCAAACCGACACAGGUAGAUGAGGAGAGAAUCCUAAGGCCAACGGGAGAAGGGUUGUCAAGGAACUCGGCAAGUUGACCCCGUAACUUCGGAAGAAGGGGAGCCUCGAAAGAGGCCGCAGUGAAUAGGCCCAGGCAACUGUUUACCAAAAACACAGGUCUAUGCUAAAUCGAAAGAUGACGUAUAUGGGCUGACGCCUGCCCGGUGCCGGAAGGUUAAGAGGAGAUGUCAGGCAACGAAGCAUCGAAUUGAAGCCCCGGUAAACGGCGGCCGUAACUAUAACGGUCCUAAGGUAGCGAAAUUCCUUGUCAGGUAAGUUCUG